UAUGUAUGUGUGAGAGCAGACAGAGAGGCUGAGAGGAACAGAGGCAGUCUCUAACUCUAUCCCAGCCCUCAGCCCCUCAGACACACUCUCUCUCACUCACUCACACACGCACUCUCAGCGCUGGCUCAGGCUCCGCUUCAACACUGGGACACAGAGGCAGCAAAAGUCUGAGGGAGAGUAAGAGCGAGGGAGUGGGAGAGAGGAAGAGAGAGGGAGAUUGGUAGUGUGUGAGUGUGUGUGUGUGUGUGUGUGUAAGCACCAUGUCUUCAGACCCAGGGCUCAUAGCACUGUUUCUAUGGACUAUAUCACUACAGACACUUGGCACCGCCGGAAACAGCAACAACGACAACAAUGAAGUGAAUCUACUAGACACCUCCUCGAUAUCAGGCGACUGGGGCUGGCUAACAUACCCAUCACACGGGUGGGAUGCUAUAAAUGAGAUGGAUGAGUAUUUCAGUCCCAUCCACACGUACCAGGUGUGUAACGUGAUGAGUCCCAGUCAGAACAACUGGCUGAGGACAGGCUGGAUCCCUCGUGACGGAGCCAGGAGGAUCUAUAUCGAGGUCAAGUUCACCCUCCGGGACUGUAACAGCAUGCCUGGAGUCCUGGGAACUUGCAAGGAGACAUUUAACCUGUACUACUAUGAGUCGGACCGAGCUGUAGGCACGGCCAUCAGAGAGACCCAGUUCACCAAGAUCGAUACCAUCGCUGCUGAUGAGAGCUUUACUGGAGUGGACCUGGGAGUCAGGAGACUCAAACUCAACACAGAAGUUCGAGGUGUGGGCCCCCUCACUAGACGAGGCUUCUACCUGGCGUUCCAGGACAUCGGGGCGUGCAUCGCCCUGACCUCUGUCAGGGUGUACUACAAGCGCUGCUCAGGCGUGGGCCGCAACCUGGCCGUGUUCACUGACGUAGUGACGGGCGCUGACUCCUCCUCCCUGGUGGAGGUCAGGGGUCAGUGUGUGGACCACGCCGAAGAGAGAGACACGCCCAAGAUGUACUGCAGCGCUGAGGGGGAGUGGCUGGUGCCCAUCGGGAGGUGUAUAUGCAGCGCUGGGUUCGAGGAGCACAGGGAGUCCUGCAUCGCGUGUGAGGUGGGUUUCUAUAAGCCAAUGGCAGGUGAUGGGUUGUGUGGGAGGUGUCCUCUACAAAGCCACUCAGAGACCAGAGCUGCCCUCUACUGCCCCUGUGACUCCAGCCACUACAGGGCCCCUACAGACCCCCCUGCCGCACCAUGCACAAGCCCCCCAACAGCUCCAGUAAACAUGAUAUCGUCGGUUAACGGUACGUCAGUGAAUCUGGAGUGGGGUCGACCGAUGGACUCGGGGGGUCGCAGUGACCUGCUGUACAGCGUGCUCUGUCAGAAGUGCUCUGGGGAAGGGGGGCAGUGUGAGGACUGUACAGCAGGGAUGGGGUCAACCAGUGUGGGAGAGGGGAUGGGAGGAGAGGGUGGAGGGACGGUGGACCGCUCUGGGGUGGUCCCCGUGCGGUUUGUUCCCCGGCAGAGCUUGCUGACCGAACCCUGGGUUACCGUUCUAAACCUGGUUGCCCACGCCAACUAUACCUUCCGUAUCCUAGCGAUGAAUGCGGUGACUCACCUAAGCAAUGAGCCGGCGCCCUUCAUAUCUGUCAACAUCACCACGAACCAGGCAGCCCCUUCCCAGGUGAUUGCCAUUCGCCAGGAGAACACCAGUCAGAACAGCGUCACUCUGCAGUGGCACGAGCCUGACCAGCCCAAUGGAGUCAUACUAGAGUAUGACAUCAAAUACUAUGAGAAGGAUAAGGAGCAGCAGAGUUACUCCACCCUGAAGGCCAAGGGGACCACGGCCCGGGUGUCUGGCCUGAAGCCUGGUACCAGGUACAUUUUUCAGGUCCGGGCCAGAACCUCGGCAGGCUGCGGACGCUUCAGCCAGAAUGUGGAGAUCCAGACCGGGAAAGCAAUUCCUCUGCGCUACGACACUAUGACCAUCAUCUGGAUCUGUAUGGCGCUGGUCUCUGGCCUCGUCACCUUCCUGGCCAUCGUCAUCUGCAGGAAACGGCAAGGCAACCCUUUCUUACACUACACCACAACCCGUGAUGUGGACGAGUCCUCUCUGACUCUACGUCACUCAUAUACACACUGUGGCUAUAGCAAGGCCUUCCAGGACUCUGAUGAGGAGAAGAUGCACUACCAGAAUGGCCAUGUGUCAUUCCCCGACGUGCGAUUCUACAUCGACCCACACACCUACGAGGACCCCUGCCAGGCCGUCCACGAGUUUGCCCGAGAAAUUGAAGCUUCCAGGAUCAGAAUAGAGAAAAUCAUUGGGUCAGGUGAGUUUGGGGAGGUGUGUUACGGGCGGAUGCGUCUCCCAGGGAAGAGAGACAUUCCGGUGGCUUUGAAGACACUGAAGGCAGGAUACAGUGACAAGCAGAGGAGGGACUUCCUGGCUGAGGCAUCAAUCAUGGCCCAGUUUGACCACCCUAACAUCAUUCACCUGGAGGGAGUGGUCACACGCAGUAAACCAGUCAUGAUCAUCACUGAGUACAUGGAGAAUGGAUCUCUGGACUCUUUCCUGAGGAAACAUGAUGGUCAGUUCACUAUAAUCCAGUUGGUGGGCGUGAUGCGUGGCAUCGCGGCGGGUAUGACCUACCUGGCAGACAUAGGCUACAUCCACCGCGACCUGGCAGCUCGUAACAUCCUGGUCAACAGCAACAUGGUGUGUAAGGUGUCUGACUUCGGCCUGUCCAGAGUCCUGGAGGACGAUCCUGAUGCAGCAUACACCACCAGCGGUGGUAAGAUUCCAAUCCGCUGGACAGCGCCGGAGGCCAUUGCCUACAGGAAGUUCUCCUCUUCCAGUGACGUGUGGAGCUAUGGCGUGGUCAUGUGGGAGGUCAUGUCAUAUGGGGAGAGGCCAUACUGGAACCUCACCAACAGAGAUGUGAUAAAGUCAGUAGAGGAGGGCUACAGGCUACCUGCUCCUAUGGGCUGUUCAGGUGCUUUACACACUCUCAUGCUGGACUGCUGGCAGAAGGACCGCAACGAGAGGCCCCGGUUCUGCCAGAUCGUUACAGUUUUAGACAAGCUGAUCCGGAACCCGGAGAACCUCAAGUCCAUGAACACGCUGUGCAGGCACACCUCCCAUGAUGGACAGAAGUAUCCCAGACUUCAGCAGCUGUAGUUCUGUGGAUGAGUGGCUGGACACCAUCAAGAUGGGCCGAUACAAGGACCAUUUUGCUGCAGGAGGCUACCUGACCCUAGGCCACGUCAUAGGCAUGAACCAAGGGGAUAUCCACAGGCUGGGGGUGACACUGAUGGGCCACCAGAAGAAGAUCAUGACCAGUGUACAGCUGAUGCGUGUCCAGGUGCUCAACAGAAGUGUGCCCUCGGUGCACGUAUAACUUCAGUCUCAAGGCUUCUCCAGCCAGCCGAUUUUCAAAUCUAGCCCCAGGCUUCUGAGGCCUAGUCGGAACUCAUGGGAAUUGAUCUAUGACUAUCAGAGAAACUACAAUGUCCGGGUGACAUUUUGGUUAACUUUUCAAGACCUCUUCUUUGAGAGAUUGAAACUUCAAGAGUACAGAUAUGAAGGGACUUGAGUACCAUAGCCUUUGUUUUUCCUAUUCAGAUAUGUUUCAUGUCUUGUUUGUAAAAAUGUAUGGACUGCCUUAAUCUCCACAAAUGAUUUAAAUGUUGUUGUAUACAAAGAGAGAUUCUAUUCAUAUUAAUGUAUCAGUUAAGUAUACGUUACAAUGGAUCUGAGUGAUAGCCUAGCAUACAGUAAGCGAGAGACUGGCAGGGGCUGGAGCACUGAGCUGUGUCCCCCAGCACACAGCUUCUCCUAUGGUUCCCCUGAGAACUGUCCCCAGGCCCCUGUCUACUUACAUGGCACAAGAAGACCCUGGACCUGAACCCGACAGUGGACAAACAGCAACAACCUACUCGACUCACCAGAAAUUCCAAGUCUCCUCCACUAAGAAGGAAGCCAGUUCUAAUUUGGCUAUGAAAGACUGUACGGAGUCACAAUCUCACACAGUAAACUUUCGAAGGACCCUAGGAGAGAAGCACUGUGUUCUCUCCCUGGUUCAGCUGUAUUGCGCACAACUACUGUAGAACAGAUGUAUGGAUGAUGACUCAUUGUGAUUAUAGUGUUUUGAUUCUGUGGUGGUAAGGACAAAACAAGGAAUAGGGAAAGUGCUAUAUGUGGAAUGUUUUUAUCUAAAUACUUUGAAAACAAUAUUAUUGACGGUCCUAGUUCCACUGUGCAAUCAAGAGAAUGGUUUUCUAAUGCACCUAUGUUUGAUUUCCUGAAUAAGUGGUCUAUGUCUCUUUUUAUUAGAGAAGAAGCUCAUUAUAUUCCCUGAAUAUGCAUUGUAUAACUAUGGUGACAUUUCAAUAAUGUUUCCAAAUUUUUCUCCUGAGACACUUUUUUUUUUAAACACUGGAGUUCAAUAGAAAUUCCAUAUUUUAUGAAUGUAUGUUUUAUUAGAUCUAUCAAUUGACAAACAGCCUUCUGUUUUCUAUACCAGUACAUACAACAGGAUGUACUAACCUCUGUCUGAAAUUAGGGGCUCUAUUCAAUCAGUAUCGGUGAAUCGUUACAGAUUGCUCAAAAGACAUUUGAAGGUAAUUUCCGAUUAAGUCGAAAUAUGCAGGGUUUAACGUGAAUGCUGUCUCCACUAACGCAGGGACAUGGCCUUUAAAUUUCAAUCACGCUGUAACGUUGAACAUCCGCAAUGCGGAUUGAAUAGAGCCCUCGGUCUAUUUGCUCUCAAACAAAAUUCAAAAGACAAAAGCUUUUUGCAAAGAUUGAUGGAUCAUCCUUGUUUGUCAUGUUGAAUCAUAUAAUACAAAUAGUGACUGAAAAAGCAAUACCCCUCUGUCUGCACGACUCAGUGCUGAGUCCACUGCCAUGAUUCACCUGGGAAUAAAUAAAAUGGGUUUAACACAACUGACCUGUCUCGCUUGGGAUGUUGCAGAAUGUUUCACAUUCCAAUCCGGAACACAACACAGUGACUAAUGUAGGAAUGAAUAGAAAAUGAACAAAACAGGGUUAGGGUUACAGUAAUGGAUUUUGGUUUGGUCAGGGUGUGAUUUGGGUGGGCAUUCUAUGUUCUUUAUUUCUUUGUUUCUGGCCGAGUGUGGUUCCCAAUCAGAUCAGACAGACAGUCUAUCGUUGUCUCUGAUUGGGGAUCAUACUUAGGCAGCCCUUUUCCCUCCUUCUGUGUGGGAUCUUGUCUUUGUUUGUGUGCAGGUAGUUUGCACAACAAAGCUAUUUGGGACGUUGUAUUCUUUAUUGUUUUGUCUUUUCCAAAGUUUCACUUCGUUAAUAAAUUAUGUGGAACUCAAA